rnacentral:misc_RNA from 1 species
UUAAGUUCAGCGGGUAUCCCUACCUGAUCCGAGGUCAACCUUGAGUAAGUAGUGAUUUCACGGCAGGCACACGCCGGGUCUCCGGAAGCGAGAAGUGUUACUACGCUUGGAAGCCAGACGGCACCGCCACUGAUUUUAGGACACACCGGGGCCGGUGCUGCCCAACACCAAGCAGAGCUUGAGGGUUGUAAUGACGCUCG